GAUGAACGCUGGCGGCGUGCCUAAUACAUGCAAGUCGAGCGAACAGAUGAGGAGCUUGCUCCUCUGACGUUAGCGGCGGACGGGUGAGUAACACGUGGAUAACCUACCUAUAAGACUGGGAUAACUUCGGGAAACCGGAGCUAAUACCGGAUAAUAUAUUGAACCGCAUGGUUCAAUAGUGAAAGACGGUUUUGCUGUCACUUAUAGAUGGAUCCGCGCCGCAUUAGCUAGUUGGUAAGGUAACGGCUUACCAAGGCAACGAUGCGUAGCCGACCUGAGAGGGUGAUCGGCCACACUGGAACUGAGACACGGUCCAGACUCCUACGGGAGGCAGCAGUAGGGAAUCGUCCGCAAUGGGCGAAAGCCUGACGGAGCAACGCCGCGUGAGUGAUGAAGGUCUUCGGAUCGUAAAACUCUGUUAUUAGGGAAGAACAAAUGUGUAAGUAACUAGGCACGUCUUGACGGUACCUAAUCAGAAAGCCACGGCUAACUACG
rnacentral:rRNA from 1 species